CUACGGGCCGCUGCAGUGGGGAAUAUUGGACAAUGGGGGGAACCCUGAUCCAGCCAUGCCGCGUGUGUGAAGAAGGCCUUUUGGUUGUAAAGCACUUUAAGCAGUGAAGAAGACUCUUCGGUUAAUACCCGGGGACGAUGACAUUAGCUGCAGAAUAAGCACCGGCUAACUCUGUGCCAGCAGCCGCGGUAAUACAGAGGGUGCAAGCGUUAAUCGGAAUUACUGGGCGUAAAGCGAGCGUAGGUGGCUUGAUAAGUCAGAUGUGAAAUCCCCGGGCUUAACCUGGGAACUGCAUCUGAAACUGUUAGGCUAGAGUAGGUGAGAGGGAAGUAGAAUUUCAGGUGUAGCGGUGAAAUGCGUAGAGAUCUGAAGGAAUACCGAUGGCGAAGGCAGCUUCCUGGCAUCAUACUGACACUGAGGCUCGAAAGCGUGGGUAGCAAACAGGAUUAGAUACCCUAGUAGUC
rnacentral:rRNA from 1 species